GAGAUGUUAGUAAAAUAAUUACAUAGCCUUGUCAAGACUAAGUCGUAGGCGGAAACCCUACACAUCUCU
rnacentral:tRNA from 1 species